UUAACGCGAAUUUGUAUGUAGUUGGAACAGCGCCCCUAGCGGCAAACGAAGGCAAACGUUCUAACUGCAUACAAAUUUGAGUCA
rnacentral:pre_miRNA from 1 species